AUGGACGGCCCCAGACUCCUGCCUGCUGUCGGGCUAGCUGCCCCCAUCCCCAUCCCCACGCUGCCUCCCCCCCCGGGGUCAGGGAGCACCGGCCCAGGCUGGGACGCGAGGAGGAGAUGGAGGCUUUGCAGAAAGGCCCGUCCUAGAGGGCUGGGAGCGGGCGCUGCAGCUUGGAGCAGCCGAGCCCCGAGCCUGCGCACGGUGCGUCUCCCCUGCCACAGACCGGCCGCUCCAAGGUGUGAUGCCGUGUCGGUCACAGCACUGCGGGCGGUUGAGUGCACGCAGGCACUCGUGACUCUUUCCUUCUUCUGCCCAAAGCAGGGCUCCCACCUCCAGCUCGCCAGCRGGGAAGCAGCAGUGCUGCCUCGGGGGAGCUGGCAGCGUGGCAGGCUGCACUGCGGGCAGGAGAGUGGCAGGGGCCCGUCAGCGGUGCUGCACGGAGCAAGGUGCUGCACGGAGCAAGGCACUGCAUGGAGCAAGGCACUGCAUGGAGCAAGGCACUGCAUGGAGCAAGGUGCUGCACGGAGCAAAGCACUGCACAGAGCAAGGCGCUGCAUGGAGCAAGGUGCUGCACGGAGCAAAGCACUGCACGGAGCAAGGCGCUGCACGGAGCAAAGCACUGCAUGGAGCAAGGCGCUGCACGGAGCAAGGCGCUGCACGGAGCAAAGCACUGCAUGGAGCAAGGCACUGCACGGAGCAAGGCGCUGCACGGAGCAAGGCGCUGCACGGAGCAAAGCACUGCACGGAGCAAAGCACUGCACAGAGCAAGGCGCUGCACGGAGCAAGGUGCUGCACAGAGCAAAGUGUUGCACAGAGCAAGGCGCUGCAUGGAGCAAAGCACUGCACGGAGCAAAGCAUUGCACGGAGCAAGGCGCUGCAUGGAGAAAGGCACUGCAUGGAGUGUCUUUCUCCCUGUGUCUUUCCCUGCAUCUUGCCCUGUGCAGUGCUUUACAAAAUGCAGAGCCUCACAUCAGUCGCUGCCGAGAGGGCACCAACGAAAGCAGGCUUUGUGCAGAGGGUCGGGGGAAUCACGCUCCUCGGCGUGCGAGGACCCCCGCUCCCGCAGGGCAGCCGACAGGCGGGGAGCCCCACGGCCCCACGCGCCCAUGUGAGGCACUGGCCGCAGCCCCAGGCCGGCGGGGCCAUGCCGUGCAUGCGCUGCGCCACGAUCCCCCCGCGGCCCACGGGAGCCUUUCUCAUCCCGCCGACGGCAGCUAA
rnacentral:lncRNA from 1 species